rnacentral:rRNA from 1 species
AUUGAACGCUGGCGGCAUGCUUUACACAUGCAAGUCGAACGGUAACAGGCCGCCAGGUGCUGACGAGUGGCGCACGGGUGAGUAAUGCAUCGGAACGUGCCCAGUCGUGGGGGAUAACUACUCGAAAGAGUAGCUAAUACCGCAUACGAUCUAUGGAUGAAAGCGGGGGACCGUAAGGCCUCGCGCGAUUGGAGCGGCCGAUGUCAGAUUAGGUAGUUGGUGGGGUAAAGGCUCACCAAGCCAACGAUCUGUAGCUGGUCUGAGAGGACGACCAGCCACACUGGGACUGAGACACGGCCCAGACUCCUACGGGAGGCAGCAGUGGGGAAUUUUGGACAAUGGGCGCAAGCCUGAUCCAGCAAUGCCGCGUGCAGGAAGAAGGCCUUCGGGUUGUAAACUGCUUUUGUACGGAACGAAACGGCUCUGGUUAAUACCCGGGGCUAAUGACGGUACCGGAAGAAUAAGCACCGGCUAACUACGUG